AAAAACCAAGACGAAGACGAAGACGGCGACGAUUUCAUGUUGAACAUUUGACUUUCAAAAGUGCAAAUUUAUUAACAAGAACAGGAACAACAACAA